rnacentral:lncRNA from 1 species
CCGACCUUCAUAGCUUAGUCUCAUGUUCCUCUACUUGCCAUUCACAAGAUUCAACAAAAUCACCCACAACAUGAAGAGGAGAAGAGGGAGAAACUCAUUCAGCCCAAAAUCUACGAAAAAGAGGAAAUAAUUAUCAAAAAAUCUAAAACGAGGGUUUAGAAUAAAUCCCUUUUAAACCCACCAUUUAAGCCGAUCCCAUUCAAAUUCUGACCACCGACGGAGCCACUGAUUGAGCCGAUAUCGGAGGAAUCAAUCUUCCAGCUAUGAUUAAACCCAUUAAAAUCUGUCUUCAAAUUACUUUUGGUACCAUUAUUAUUACCACUCAGUGAGUCAACCGAGUUGAGGCCGCCGCCAACCCGAAUAUCGACGUUGCGCCGUUCUUCCAGCCUUUUGGCGCCGCCGUAGGAGGUGCUCCAGUCUCCAGACUGAGUCGUUGAGAGAGAGAUUGGCUAGAUUAUUAUUGGUCUGUACAUGAAGCUGAUCACUGAAUUGCCAGAAAGAAGACUGAUUGUUAUUCUCCAUCUGAAAAAAAUCAAUCUUAAUUAUUUUCCUGAACAAAAUAUAUGUAAUAUAUGUAUAUGUAUGGAGAUUUAGAGACGAAGGAG